rnacentral:miRNA from 1 species
UGAGAAGAAGAAGAAGAACC